GGAUAGGAGAAAUCCGUUCCGAUGCCGGGAAUCUCUCCCGGCCUGACCGAAAGGAAAGGGGUUAAGAUUCCCCUACCCGGAUGCGGAGAUCGGGACCUCGCGUCCCUAACGCGGCGACGCAACCGAGCUCGGAUACGUCGACGGGAGUCCCGGGAAGAGUUGUCUUUUCUUCGCAAGGGUUCGAGUCCCUGGAAUCGGGUCGUCCGGAGAUAGGGUCGAAGUGCCCGAGAAGCGUCGCGUCUCUU
rnacentral:rRNA from 1 species